rnacentral:lncRNA from 1 species
UCACCAUCGCCCAACGCUUGGUUGACCUUGAACAACUGAUUUCCUUCGGUCAGCGUUAUAGUUGCCCUUGAACAAGAAGUGUACGACUCCACGGCCAUCCAUUUGGUUUUUGUUGCCGGGUAAUUCCUUGUUCAGCUUUUGCGAUGCCUACAUCGCCGUGUCCAGCUGCUGCAUUUACAGUUCUAUAUCUAUAAACUUGUAUACGAAUCUUCUUGACUCCAGGAGAUUCUCAUGUGUUCUUUUUACCCCAGUUUCCUGUCAUCAUCUAUCCAUUUUGGUCAUGCUUGAUGUUUUGGUUGUAAAUCCUGUAUUAUGUACUGUUUCAGCUCAGUUUAAUAUAAUCCGGCUCUUUCUUACUACAAAAAAAAAAACAGAAGGAAAAAAAAAAGAAAAGUCGGUCCUGUUAAAGUUCUUUAAUACAUUGCGUGGUUUUAGUCCUUUAACAAACCCGUGUGAUUUGACAGGUUAAUCCUUCUUUUGGGCACUAUAGCGAUUAUUCUAAUUGGUCCCAUUGUAACAUCAUACAUUUCCAAUUUUUUCCCCUUCAUUUCUUAGAUCUCAUAAUUACUUAAGCUUGCAUAAAAUAUCAAAAGCACCAUUUCUCCACUUUCUUUGGCUGGUGAUAGAUCUGCUAGUCAUGAUCCCCCAGGAAACUGUAUCGGUCUCCUCUAAACAGGUCUCCAGUCAUGAUUUACAUCGCUGGACAAAUGUUUUUUUCCAUGUGGUUCAGCUAUUCUUGCCACAUCAGCAUCAUACAUCUCUUGACAAGUAAAGGGCUUCGACAAAAGAAAAAGAAAAACUAUAGGCUUAUAGAAUUAUAUCCAUAUGUUUUCGUACCAGUUUAUGACCAUAACCAGCCAGCCUUAUCCUUCUAUUUGGGAGCUCAACACCCAAAGUCCAUCAAAAAUAUAUACCAACCAUUACUGCAUGACCUGCAUUUCACCAAAGUUCCAAACCCCAAUUACAUCUUUUCAACGGAUGAACAAGUAGAAAACGUCAGUGGUACUGAGAACAACCGUCUGAGAAGUUAUCAUGAUAGGUUCAUCCUGCCAAACAUCGCCUAGGUUCAUAGUUGCUUCUUUGAGUCAGUAAAAAAUAAAAAUUAAAAUUAAGAUAAAAAUAAAAGAAAAUCAUCAGUAACAUCUGGAAUACACUGUCUACUCAAUGGUUCAGUACCUAUAUAGAACACUAUAAGACAAUAACAUAUUCGAUUGCUUUGCAUAAUUAAAAAGAUAAAACAAUGAAUGUGAAAUAGCACAAUAUUGCGUCAAAAAUACAUGCACUUACCAACUCAAUAGAUCAUUAACCAUGAGCCACUUCAAUGCUGGCUUCCUGGGUAGAAAUACUCAACACCAUUAUCCUUCAUCUAGAAGUGGAAGUUAUGAAUUAUGUUCAUUAAAUGCCCAUGUUUGUUGGAAGUCCCCUGGUUGAAAACAGUCGACUGUCAAAACCAUUUGCAUUGUAACUAAAUUCUAUCAAAGGAAAAGGAAAUAGUUCUCAACAACCCCCCUUAAAAUGUGAUUAAAAAGGCAACAGUAAUAGCUUAUCUUCAGCAGCAGACAAAAAGAAAUGGAUUGUUUGAUGCUGCAAAGCUACUUAUUUUUUUGCGGAGCUACUUUUGGUGGUACAAAGGCCAGAACAGAGUUGUCCAUUUUUAUGUAAAAAUAGAAACAUUUGUGAGACCCACAAUUCGAUAUCGUAAAGUAUUUGUGCAUAAUAAUUGUAGUCUUUAUCAAGUAUUAAUGCAAAGCAUGACAUGGGUCCAGUACUACUCUGAGGGGCUCUCUGAAUGCCUGUGAGUUAUUAUAUAAUAUAUAUAUAUAUAUUUGACAGAUAAUCAUGAAAUAUGAGACUCUACAAAACAGGAUUUAUGACAAACAGGGGGAUACCUAUUUUCCGCAUCCAGGUCUUAUGACUCAUCAGAUUUGGUGAAACAAAUUUUAUAGAAAACAGUCAAACAACUAUUUAGAAAAAAAACAUUCAUUCUGAGUUUUUCUUAUAAAUCUGUCUUGUAAAAACUUGUCAAACACACAGUCCUUCAGACUUUUAGUUAAAAUUUAAGGGGCAAAAACAUCAAAGCUACAGUGGAUAAGAGUUUGUAAUUGUUACUCACAGAAGUUUUUGUUGGCUUGAAGUCGAGAAAUAUUUAUCAAAAGCAAGAGUUUAGGUUUAUCAUAAUGCUGCACCAGGAGAAGUCAUUUCUGCACUGGGAAUGAGCAAUUUUCCAUAUUAAAGCUUUCAGAAAAGAUCAUUUUUUGUAGGGAGGAAAAGAUCAUGUUGAUUUACAGAUAUCUCAUUAAUUGUGAACCGAAUGUUUAAUUGUGCCUUGAAAUUUUAAAACUCCUCAGCUCUUGUGUUCAUAUCCAAGAAUUCUCAGAAUCAACAAAAUCUACGAAUUAUGUCACAUGAAAAGUAAGUACAAGCUAAGAUAAAAUUACCAAACUGCCUUACAACUUGGGCAAAUAAAAAAGCUCCUCUUAACACAAUGUAUGGUAAAAACUACAACAUAAUGUCCCCUGACUUCGGAUGGCUAAUGAACCAACAUGUUCUAAUAUUUCUAUUUUGGCAUAUUUGAAUGUCAAGUACAAGAAGACACCUCACUGUUCUACAAAGCAAAGUCUAAACAAUUACAUUAACUAUAGAGUAAAUAAACAGUAAGGACAACUCUGUGUUCCUCUCUAAAGUGGAUUAAAGGUCUUUGCAAAGCCAGGACAACUCUGUCUUCCUCUCUAAAGUGGAUUGAAGGUCUUUGCAAAGCCACCUUCCUGCCCCACAUUCUGGAAAUUUUUAAGCCUUUACAUUUUGGUAUCAUAGAGUUACUGGUCCACAUUACCAUAAAAGAAACUAGUAUAUUAAAAAAAGAAAUUUCAAAUAAAUUGCACCACAUAUAUUAUUUGAUUAAGAUGCUAUGAGGAUAUGCAAUAAAGACAUGAAGCCAUGUCCCAAAGAACCAGGAAAAAGGAGGGUGGAACCUUGAGCUAAACUGGAGGAAAGCUAAGAUAAUGAAUUCUGAAAAGCUUGAAGCUGCUAGAGCCUUCAAAACGAAAAAUUAAUGGUGAAGAAUUUCCAAUUAUUGCUUACGUAUCACACUUAUGACAAGAAAGGAAUCUAGAACUUCUCACUAUCAGGAGUCAACUUUUUCCAACACAAAAUAAAAAUAUUCUAACUCAGUGUCAAAUAUCUGGAAUCAGUAGCAAGUCGAGUGUCUUCCCUCAAUUUAGAAUGUUGGGUUGGUUCAGAAAUGUAAUUUGUGAAUGCUGUCACUCAUAUGAAGUAAAAAUACUGAAGGUGGGGAAAUUAGCUCUGAGAAUAUUUCAUUGCACUUGCAGGUUAAAGAUGAGAUGAAAAAACAAAAUAACCAAGAUCAAAUCCAAAAAAAAAAAACAGCCAGGAAGUGUAAUAACACAUGAAAGGAAGCUAGAAAAUGCAAAAGUGGGGAACAUCCUCGUAUGUAAUAUCCAAGAGCCAGUAAAGAUUGAUAAAAGAGAAGCACAGAAAUAACUUCAACAAUCAGAUAAAAAUCAAAUAUAUGUCACUAGUUGCAGACAGCCGAGGCUUUUAGAUAGGCCACAUGCACUUAGUAAUUGUAAUCCACUCAAUAUCCCCAAAUUUUGUUGCGGAAAAAUAAUCUCAUAGCUAUAUUCGACUUGAGAAGUGGAGGAUGAAGAGGGGUAGUGACCUAGUGUCCUGACAACUAUGAACCCACAAUUUUAAGACAUAAGCGGAAAAAUUUCAUGUACUGUGUAUGUCUUGGCUAGGGACUGCCACACAGCACCUAUCAUGUCAUACAAUGAUGAGUUGAUGAUGCUUAGCAUGUAUAGGCAUGAAAAAAAUGUUAGUUUCUAGAGAGAUUUUCAACUUGUACAGUAGGAUUGAGACAGUAUUCAAUAUCUUCCAAGAAAAAGAUUAAUUGUAAUUGAUUCACAUUGCAUAAACGUGUUUUAAAGAAAAACACAUUUUUUCUCUAAUCUUUAGACAUCUAGAAUCACAUGAAAUCCUGGAUAUGGUGUUGAUUGUCAUCUAACAUACAUAUUGCAUAGUUUCAAGUGAUUGGUCACGCAAACUAACCCCAAGACAGAUUGUAUGCACAUAUAGCACAACAGUAAGCUUGAUAAUUAUGAUAAAAAUCACAGGGGGAUAUAAACCUAUGUUAAAACAUGAACAACAUAUUGUAGGUGUUGGUACACAUAUUGCCUGCAUCACAGGAAGGUCAAAUAAAGCUUAUGAGUUACGUUGAUUUUUAGCCUUUAGAAAUUAGACUAAUGCAAAAUUAUGAUCUAUUGCAGAAACUAGGAGUGGCUGCUUCUGGAAUUAACCCACCAAACCAAUCAAAAUAAAUGGGUACCGGGUGAGAGUUUGUAAUAAAUAUAUCAAGCUUGGAUUAUUAAGACCAACCAAGUGAUAAAUGGUCAGGUUUGGAUUUGAUCCCCGCACCCAAUAAAUCAUCAUGUAUUGGACAAACCCUUAAAACCUUACCUCUAGGCCCUUACGACAUUGACAAUCGUGUGAUGGAUCGAUGGAUUGUUGUUCGCUUGGUUCAGGUUAUUAAGAGCACUGUGCAAUUAAUAGUUAGAAGAACACAAAUAUACUAAUAUAAACUUGAAGCAAAUAAUGCGCUUAAGACUUGUUAUGUUUUCUUCUACACUUUAGUUUCUUCUUUCACUUUAUUCUGACCCCCAACAAUCAGUCUCUUCUUCUUGGCUCUACUUCGCUUUCAUUUUUUUAAGGUACAUAACUAAUAAGUAAAGCUAUAAUUGGGUGUGUAUGUUGGGUAUGAGUUUCUACAAAUAAAUGGAUUGGGCAAGGGUCUUUUUGACAUGGCCAUUAAUUUGUCAGGUAUUGGUUGAGGUUAUUUACCGACCUAAAUUUGACCUAACCCAACCAAUUGCAAGCACUAACAAAAACAUUGUCUGGAUAUAAAGCUUUCAAAGAAAUUUUGUAGAGAUUGAAGAAGGCAAUUGUAUGGAUUUUCUUAUCAAUCUCAUACAAUCCCACAUUCCUACUAAGAAGAAAAUAUGCAUGUUUGAAGAUAAUGUUCGUUUCAUCAGCUUAAACUUCACACUUUUUUUAAGAUAGUUUAUUGUUGACAAAGACGAUAGUAUGCUAUUGCACAUGCUUGUCGCAACCAGCUGCAGAAAGAGUGGAAUUAGUAUGAUGGUAACAGAAUUCUAGAAUAUUCUAUCAGGUGGCUAUCAUUGAAGCAGCAGCAUAAGCUCCCUGAGUUUAUCUGUGUCAUUUGUAGAGAUGGUGAAUCAGUGAAUCAUCAUAACAUUGCGUACUAGCUAGGCACUUGACCUUAUUUCUCAAGCUAUUGGUGAUCCUGAUCAUCUCUGAGUAACAAUGUUGAUGUCCUCAUUUCGUCAUUUGGAGUUCAAAUGGUUUUUACAAUUCUGGUCCAAAGAGUGAUAAGAAUUUUAUAAAGACUCCUAACAUAGACAAAAUAAAGUUAUCACAUGGUGAAAAGACAGUAGAAAGUUUUUCAAUGACUUGACCUCCAAUGAUGUCACAAAUUGAAGAGAAUAUAGACCUAUGUUAUUGAGUAAUAAUAAACAUACUUGUCCAUGCACAUCAGCAGCUAAACCAGUACUCAAGUGUUCUGUCUUUACCGCGAUAUCUGCAAGGUACUCCAGAUAUGAUAGGAGCCUUAGGGCUUCCUAACUUGAAUAGAUAUUUUCAUGGUUUAGAAUCACUAGAAAGCAAUCCUGUUUAAAAAAUGAGAAGGAAAUCCACCAAUGGAGUGAGAAUUAGCAAAAAGAGAGACAAGCUUGAAGUUGUCAUUUCUAACCAGUUUGGAGGUAAGGGCAAUACAGUAGUAUAGAAAGUCAAGAUGCAGUCUACAAAACCAUGGGCAGCUAUCUUUAAAAGGGAGAUGUCAUCAAUCAUGAUGAUGAUGCAGCCCCUUCUGUAUUCCUUUGACCUGCUGGCUUCUAUAGCCCUCUGAAUAUUACCAUACAAUUCAAGAAUCAUUAGCUUAGCCACAUGAUGAAUUAACUUAGAUAUAUCACAGUAAAAUGUUGCAUAGAUCACAGUAACAUGUUGCCAUUAUAUUGUUGACGAAGUGAAAAAUCACCAGUACAGAACGAAGGAUGCAACAAUGGAGACUGCGUAAUUGAUGGUUCGCAGCAAUUUUCUUUACCUUCAUACUUGUCUGGAAAUUCUAGCUUAAGCAUGUCAAGAUAGUGCAAUUGAUUGUUUUGCCUUUGUCCUGAUAGAUUACAACCCUGAAUCAAACAGAAUGUACCAUAUUAUUACUACUGUAAUAAUGUUCUGAAACAAUCUCUGAAGGGGAAGAGCCACCAAACAAGCAUGCAUUAACUGUUAGAGAAUGAAAACCAAACAUAAGCAAACAUCUGAAAAAAAACACAUCCCAGCUCAAAAAGUAAAAUUAAGUAACAAACUGUUUGAUAUCAGCAAAUGAUAUACAUGUAUACAAAUGAAUAAUUCAAUUGGCAUGGGCAUUAUCUACUAUGCGAAAGAGAAAACAGGAAGCUAUUGAUGCUAGUGCAGAUGUAAAUCGCGUGUAAUGUUAAAACAUGCUCAUAGAGUGGAAGGCAUAGAAAAUAAGACAGUAGCAUCAUACAAUUUUUGAAAAGAUUGAAAUGACUUGUCUACCAUAUGAAUUUAAAAUCUCCAUCAUGUUUCUCAUUCUCAACAUCAAUAAGCAUAAAAUCAUUAACAUAUAUGAAAUAUAUUCUUUAACUAUCAAGUAAUGAUUCAAAGAGAAAUGCAUCUUUAUGGUAGAUCAUCCUUUUGAAAGAAAAUCAGAAGUCAGAAUAAUUAGGUAACUUAAUCNNNNNNNNNNNNNNNNNNNNNNNNNNNNNNNNNNNNNNNNNNNNNNNNNNNNNNNNNNNNNNNNNNNNNNNNNNNNNNNNNNNNNNNNNNNNNNNNNNNNNNNNNNNNNNNNNNNNNNNNNNNNNNNNNNNNNNNNNNNNNNNNNNNNNNNNNNNNNNNNNNNNNNNNNNNNNNNNNNNNNNNNNNNNNNNNNNNNNNNNNNNNNNNNNNNNNNNNNNNNNNNNNNNNNNNNNNNNNNNNNNNNNNNNNNNNNNNNNNNNNNNNNNNNNNNNNNNNNNNNNNNNNNNNNNNNNNNNNNNNNNNNNNNNNNNNNNNNNNNNNNNNNNNNNNNNNNNNNNNNNNNNNNNNNNNNNNNNNNNNNNNNNNNNNNNNNNNNNNNNNNNNNNNNNNNNNNNNNNNNNNNNNNNNNNNNNNNNNNNNNNNNNNNNNNNNNNNNNNNNNNNNNNNNNNNNNNNNNNNNNNNNNNNNNNNNNNNNNNNNNNNNNNNNNNNNNNNNNNNNNNNNNNNNNNNNNNNNNNNNNNNNNNNNNNNNNNNNNNNNNNNNNNNNNNNNNNNNNNNNNNNNNNNNNNNNNNNNNNNNNNNNNNNNNNNNNNNNNNNNNNNNNNNNNNNNNNNNNNNNNNNNNNNNNNNNNNNNNNNNNNNNNNNNNNNNNNNNNNNNNNNNNNNNNNNNNNNNNNNNNNNNNNNNNNNNNNNNNNNNNNNNNNNNNNNNNNNNNNNNNNNNNNNNNNNNNNNNNNNNNNNNNNNNNNNNNNNNNNNNNNNNNNNNNNNNNNNNNNNNNNNNNNNNNNNNNNNNNNNNNNNNNNNNNNNNNNNNNNNNNNNNNNNNNNNNNNNNNNNNNNNNNNNNNNNNNNNNNNNNNNNNNNNNNNNNNNNNNNNNNNNNNNNNNNNNNNNNNNNNNNNNNNNNNNNNNNNNNNNNNNNNNNNNNNNNNNNNNNNNNNNNNNNNNNNNNNNNNNNNNNNNNNNNNNNNNNNNNNNNNNNNNNNNNNNNNNNNNNNNNNNNNNNNNNNNNNNNNNNNNNNNNNNNNNNNNNNNNNNNNNNNNNNNNNNNNNNNNNNNNNNNNNNNNNNNNNNNNNNNNNNNNNNNNNNNNNNNNNNNNNNNNNNNNNNNNNNNNNNNNNNNNNNNNNNNNNNNNNNNNNNNNNNNNNNNNNNNNNNNNNNNNNNNNNNNNNNNNNNNNNNNNNNNNNNNNNNNNNNNNNNNNNNNNNNNNNNNNNNNNNNNNNNNNNNNNNNNNNNNNNNNNNNNNNNNNNNNNNNNNNNNNNNNNNNNNNNNNNNNNNNNNNNNNNNNNNNNNNNNNNNNNNNNNNNNNNNNNNNNNNNNNNNNNNNNNNNNNNNNNNNNNNNNNNNNNNNNNNNNNNNNNNNNNNNNNNNNNNNNNNNNNNNNNNNNNNNNNNNNNNNNNNNNNNNNNNNNNNNAAAUUUUUAUUCAGAUCAUAAUAUUGCAAGGUGCAAGUCAAUAGCUCUUGAAUCAUACGGAAGGCACCACAUGUUUACGGCUUCUAAGUGAACCUUGUUAGAUAGCGAUAUGACCUUCCUGAACAUGUAAAAUAACACCAGUAAAAUAGUAUCCAAGCCACACAAGCAUGAGAAAAAGAAAAGGCAAUACGAAUGUACCUAAUUUGCUAAUUUAACAAACCCUGAAUAAUUUUUCAAUAAAUAUACAAAGCUCGAAGUCCGUUUUUUCCCCGUUAUUCUUCUCUUCUUGAUCAAUCCAUCCCUAAACUCAUCACAACAAAUAUCAGUGACAUUGUUGAAACCAGGCACGGCUCAAAUAAUAGAAUGCUGCCUCUGAUACAGUUCCAUAUUUGAACAAAGAUUUCACACUGCCCAAUCCAGUUCAAGAAACGCCUUCUACGAAAAUAAUGCCUAAUCUUGUCAUCAACCGGCACAUCCCGAGUCACGCCAUGGCUUUGACCAGUGAAAGAAACUGAAUCUUGAUUUCCAUUCGGGAAAGGAAGAAAAAAAAGCACUCAUACCAUGGAUCCUAACAACUGCAUUACGUAAAUCUAAGGAUUCAUCUUGAUAUCAACCAGUGGCUGAAAUCAUAUCUCCGUUGCUUGCCUUCUCUGUAGAUAACUAUUGAUCUUGAUAUCAUUCAGUAUUUGAAGUCAUCACAUCGUUUUGUCCAGUGAGCCAGGUUGAAUAUUGAACGGACCUUUCAAUCCAAUGCGUGGAAAAGGUCCCCCAUCCCGUCCCUCCCAACGACUUCAAUACUACUAUCAUCCGGAUCAUGAGCGAACGCCAGAACAGUAAUGUAAAGAAGCGACUCAACAAGAAAAGAAGAAGAGCAACCAAUGUUUGAGAAAACGACGAGGAGAACGAUUAUAGAGAUGAUGGUUGGGGUUUGGGAUAUUUGCUUGCCAACUUCCUCAGAACGCGAUUGUAGAGGAAAAAGGGUAGGGCAAGGGCGAGAAAGAGAACAGCCCGCAGCCCUCGCCGGCGGAGAGCGCGCGCUUCAGUAGGCCGUGGAGAACGAACACGCCGCUCGUCCUCGACGAGGACGACCCUCACCGCGGCGAGCGGAGCGAUGCUCCUCCGUGGCCAACGUCCAGGGCCUCGUCAAGGGAUCAGGGUUGUACCUUUCUCGUCAGGGCCUCGUCAAGAAGAUUGGAACGAGGGUUCGUGACUCCCCUCUCCCUCUCGUCUCGAGCAAAACCCCGCAAUACGGGAGGGAAGAGCCGGUUAAGCGGAUGUAUUUAUAGUUGCGCGAGCUAGGAUGGUUCCAAGUUUCUGGAAAGUGAAAUAAGUAGGCUCACGGCCUGUUUACACUGGUGGGUGGGUGAGACAGUUAGCGGCGGGUGACAAACGGAUGACCAACACUUCUCAACCAAUCAGAUUUGGCUGUUCAGAAAUCAUUUUGUAUUCGACGUUGAGAUUGUGCCGUUUGCGGUGAGCGCUCAGGAGAGUCUGUUAUUUAAUCACAGAGUACUAUCAUUUUGAUGCUGUUAGUCCGCAUAUUACGUUUUAAAUUUUUAAAUUUUUUUAUUAUACUUAUAGCAGUUCGGGUGAUUCUAUUCGUUUCUUAAAAAUUUUUUCAUCCAAAAUUUAUCAAGAUCGACUUUGAUAGUAAUAUCAAAUAUAGUAAAAAUGAUUCGGACUAUAUCAUUCGGGGUCUAAAUGCUAGAUUAUUGACGAUAGAAAUGACAACGGAUAGAAUUUGGAUCAGAUAUUAUACUGUCCAUUCUUAAAUCUGAACAUAAUAUCCUAUACCUAAAUUUUAUCCAAUAUCGAUCGGAUAAGAAAAGAGAUAUCCAUCCCCAUAUCCAAUGGAUUUGGAGAUACCUACGGAUAAUACAUUUCUCCAUACCCAACUCAUAUCCGCUCCAUACCCAUCUCAUAUCCAAAAAAAAAUAAAUAAUCAAAAUAAUUUAUGCAUAUUAUCAAUUAAAAUAGAAUUACCAAUUCAAUAUAGAACGUAAUUUAUAAAUUCAGAUUUUUAGAAAUCAAACAUAGAAAUAAAAUUAUAAUUCAACAUAAAAUAUAUAAAUAAUUAAAAUAAUUUUAGACAUAUUAUCAACCAAAAUAGAAUUAUCAAAAUAAAAUUAUGAAUAUAUAUAUUCGAAUAUGGGUUCGGGUAUUACCUAUACCCGUAGGUUCGGAUCGGAGUCGGAUUCGGAUUGGGAUAGAAAAUAAUACUAUCCAUAUCCUACCCAUAUGCGUGCUACAGUUUUCGGAUUUUACCCAAAUCCGGUCAAACUCUAUUUUUCGUAUUUGACUGGAUUUGGAUAGAGUGUAUAUCCAUUAGAUCGAAUCGAUUUUGUCAUCCCUAGAAGACGAUGGGGGGUUCAUAGCUCUUUGAGCCGGCUAUUUCCGAUGUAAAGCUUCGUGCCGCUUCAGCAGACAUCAUUUGCAUAAGAUAGGAGUUAUGGACUGAGAGGAUCUUCAUUGAGGAUGACUCCACCACAGUCAUCGACUGGAUCAAGGAUAAGAUAAAGUAUCUGGAUGUUUAUUCGCCUCUCUGCGACAUCUGGAGGUUAUUCCAUUGAAACGAUUGUUUGGCAUGUUUUUCGAGAGGCUAAUAGUGCUGCGGACUGAAUUAUUUCUUUUGUUGCCAAGCAUAUUAGAGACUAAAUUUGUAUUCUGUCUUCUAAAUCGUGCUCACACUAAAAUGAUGCGAUCGUCUAUUUAUACCAAAAAAAAAAUCAACACUCCUCGGGAAGAAGACAAAUGGGUGAUCAAUGGCAGGUGAUUGAGCAUGGGAGAAGAUGNNNNNNNNNNNNNNNNNNNNUAUCGGAGUUGAGUGCCUAAAUUUUUUUGGUUAAGGAUAAAAGUAACCAUAACAGAAACGGAGUAAUAGAUACAUAAAAAUCAAACCACAGCCAACUAAAUUGGACCCAAUAGCAUCUACUAGGAGGAUGCUCAGAAGUUGUGGCUGAAUAAAUCCAGAUUCAAUGAUUAAGAUAUUCCAAUGAUUGCCUUGAGUUGCCAUCCAAUUGGAAAAAUUACAGCAUCGGAUGAAUUAAUCUUCUUCCACAAUAUAUAGGUUGUAUACAACAUUUUCCUGUAUGAUCUCACUCAUGAAAAUUUCAUAUUUGCUUUCCGUGAUGCUACUUUUGGAAUACCAUUCUCUAACACAAGUAACCGCUGCUUUUGAAGGCCAUGCUUGCAUGCGUUAGAACUGUUAACCAAUUUAAUUACACCAAUGCAACCGUGCUGUUACCUCUUAAAAGUUUCCAAAUAUUGAGAAAUUGAAGUCCUCAACGAAUCACCAUUAAACUGCAUUGCUUAUGUCAGAGAAAUUGAAGAGCAUUCCUUUCUCCUCGUUUCUUCUCAUAACUUUUAUUUUGCAUAUGAAUCUCCAUUCCUUCAAAUGAUGCCAAGAUUUUCCUCAACAUCACAAUUAUUCAUCUACUUACCUUCUGCUCAUCAUUCUAAACUCACCAAUGGCAACUAUCAUUCUAAUGGCAAACAUAAGUUAAUGGUCUAUAAGUAAUAUUUGCUUUUUAUUAAAUUCUGUGGAUGGAGUCAUAAUCAAGAAAUCUAUUGCACAUUGGAUCGCGAUGGGUCCAGAAGCUAGACUCUAGAAUCCUCUUGGGACUUGGCAACCUGACAUCAAGCCCAAACCGUUCCUAUCAAAGCAAUUCACCUUCGCCCUAACGUGUUACACGGUAAGAGGCUAGACUAGACGACUUUUGUAGAACAAGAACGCCAGUCCGCCGUCCGGUCCACGACUUGUGUCACAACAAUCAAACAACAAAUAAUUAAAAAUGGCCAGACGGAUUUGAUAUCAUUAAUAAAUAAAUUAAUUAAUCUUGUCUGGUGAAACCGUACAUGAUGAUGUAGAAAAAAAAAUUUCAAAUAAACAGAAUACUAGAACCGCGUUUCUUUUAACGAUCUGGGCACAGAUCUGAUUCCUCAAUCCAACGGUCUAAAUCGUUCUAUCUUUGCGUUUUGGGUGGGAUUCGAAGCAACAACUGUUAUAUGAUAUGCGAGGUGAUUAAAAAUUAAGUUUAGUUUUUCUUUAUUUUUCUGGGUAAUUUUUCGUUUUCUAAUUUUGGAGCCUUUACUUGAGUUGAGUUGAGUCGAGUCCGUCCUCUUUAUUUCCUCUUUCUCUCACUUCUUGCGAGAGCUAAAAAAGAGGGGGAGGGGGAGGGGGAGGGGGAGAAGAGCGCGAGAACGAUCGGUGGUUGGGGAAAUGGGGUGCUUUCCGUGCGCCGGAGAGCCGAGCAGGAAGGGUAAGGAGAAGGAUCAGAUCCCGCCGGCCUCAGGUAUUUGGAUUCCGUAGCAAAUUUGUGCUUUUCUGGAAUUUUUUUGCUUCAUUUUUUUUGGUUUUUAAAUCGAUCGAAUCGGCUUGGUAUGAGAUCUUAUUCCAUUUUUGUCUUCUGGGAUAUGGAUUUUGGGUUGGAUGGUUCCAGAUUCCAAAGAAAGUUAGGGUUUGCCGGGGGGAGUCACUCGAUCUGGAGGUGUUUCUUUUUGGUCCGGAUUUCCAGACUCCAUUGUCUAAAAAUUUGAUUUUGGGUUGGGGUUUGGCGUUUGGAAGGAACCCUUUCAUCUCCGUGUUGGUUUUUCUGGACCCGAUCAGCAUAAAGGUGAAGGCUUUGAUGAAGCUUGAGUCGUCUCCCAUGUUCUAAUCAACGUUUGCUGUUUAUUGUAGCCAUUCCCUUGAAAAUAAAUUUCCUGUUGCUUCUUUAGGAUGAGAUUUUCUUUUUCUGUCUGGUGAUGACCAGAUCGUUUAAUUAGCUGUGCUGUGUUCAGUCGAUCCAUAUCUGCAUAUAUGAUAAGUUUGAUGCAUUAAUUGAUGCUUUUUAUGCAUAUAUAUCGUUUGGAUAAUCAAAAAAGCUACUUUUGAUUCAGAUUGUGGUUAAAUUUCCCAUUAAUCUGCAUUGAUUUGAGAUUUAAAUGUGGAGGGUCAUACUGCCUCAUUACUUCCAAAACUGAGUGUGUUCUCCUGUUGUCGUGAAUUAAGCGCAGAAUACUCGUUUUGAUCUUUUUUUUUCUAUGUCAUAGAAAUAACUGAGGCACGUAAAAUAGAAAAUGUUAAUAUAUAGAAUUUCUUGGCCACUGAUAUUCAUUUAGCAAAGUGCGACUUUUAAUUAGGCAAUGGAACUAGGAAGUUUUCCUUGCGGACUAAACAAAUAAAGAGAUGGGACUGUGAUAUUUGUCUUUUAAGUCAAUAAUAUGAAGUUGUAGUCUUUCUUUGUUAUUUGAUCAUUUUGUAUUCAUCUAGUUCUCAUGUUCUCAAAGUAUGUAUUUAGUCAUUCAUUGAUGUUUGUUCUUCAGCAGAGAAGUCAAAAUCCAAUUCAUCGUCGGAUGUAAAGAAACAGAGCUCACUGGAUGCAAAGAAGGAGGUCUCAAAUAAUGGAUCUGAACAUAUUGCUGCUCAGACGUUUACAUUUCGUGAAUUGGCUGCAGCAACCAAGAAUUUCAGAGCUGAUUGUCUUUUAGGAGAGGGAGGGUUUGGCCGAGUUUAUAAGGGCAGGUUGGAUAGUAUUAACCAGGUCAGGCUGUGCUGUCUUUGCCGUUAAUCUUUGACUUUUUCCUCGACUGUCUCUCGGUAUGCUUGCAAACAAGUUUCUCUCUCAUUCUCUUACUUCAGUUUUAAAAACUGAAAGUUAACUUUUACAUAGUUCUAAGCUUCCAAAAGUGAGUUUUGUUAGAUAAGAUUGACAUGUUUGUUAUCGAAUCUAUUUUAUUUCCAUCAAUAAUUCUGCUGAAUUCAAAUAUUUGUAAUCUGCACUGAAUUAUUGCAUCCCUGUUUUUCUUUUGCCCCUUGAAUUCUCAAUCUAGAAACUCAUACAGUGGUUUGACAUUGCUGAUCUGCUUGAAUAAGGGGAGUGUGAUGAAUUGUUUCUUUUCUAAAAAAAAAAACAUUAUCGAGUUGUUAACGUGGAGUUUCCUUUUGUUCUGCAUAGAUUGUGGCUAUAAAGCAGCUUGACCGUAAUGGCUUGCAAGGUAAUAGAGAAUUCCUUGUUGAAGUUCUGAUGUUGAGUCUACUUCACCACCCUAACCUUGUUAACCUAAUCGGAUACUGUGCUGAUGGAGAUCAAAGGCUUUUAGUUUAUGAGUACAUGCCAUUGGGAUCCUUGGAAGAUCAUCUUCAUGGUAAGCUAAUGUACAGUGCGUCAUCAUCAUACUCUGUAUGUGUCUGUUGUUUAGUGGAUUGGAUCUGGUAUAUACUCAAUCUGCAGUUUUUUUUACACUGAAGCAUACCUGUUCAUCUGAUUACCUUGGUUUCAAUAGACCCGUCUCCAGACAAGAAGCGGCUAGACUGGAACACAAGAAUGAAAAUAGCUGCUGGUGCAGCUAAAGGAUUAGAAUAUUUGCAUGAUAAGGCCAAUCCUCCUGUUAUAUACCGUGAUCUGAAAUGCUCUAACAUUUUGCUUGGAGAGGGAUAUCAUCCCAAGUUAUCUGAUUUUGGCUUGGCAAAGCUUGGUCCUGUCGGUGAUAAAACUCAUGUUUCCACUAGGGUCAUGGGUACUUACGGAUAUUGUGCACCUGAAUAUGCAAUGACCGGACAACUGACACUAAAAUCAGAUGUCUAUAGCUUUGGGGUUGUUCUUCUGGAGCUUAUCACUGGAAGAAGGGCUAUUGACAAUUCUAGAGCUGCAGGGGAGCACAACCUUGUUGCAUGGGUAAGGAGCUCCGCCUUCCUGUACUUUGUUUCUACACACACAUGCAUGCAUGCACACAAAUUUCGUAUCCUAGAUUUCUUAUACUUCAAAUAUUUCUUUCCAAGAAACCAAUUAUUAUCUCAGCAUAGUUAACAUCAAUUUUAAUUAGUUAACUUGUGUUCUGGAAAAUAACUUGAUCUCAGAUCUCUAGCCCUGAAGUUUAAUAAGGAAACUAUGCGCAUGAAUCUUGAUGUGCCCAUCAACAGAAAACAGUUUGGGAGGUCAUUUUCAGUUCCUUCUCUUAUUUAUUAUUAUUAUUAUUAUUAUUUUUGGUUUGCCACAAAAUUCCAUGGAGUAACUUUAUUGCCUCUCUGGUCUCAUCCAGAUAAAUUGGAAUUUUCCUACUCUAAGGCAACUGGAUUCUAAGCUAUGAAACCUGAUAUACUUGUUGACAUUAAUUUUCAAUAUGCAACUUGGAUUGGCCAGGUCAGAACCUUUUUGAAUAUUGACUAGGCAAUGCCUCUGGCUAAAUUCUAGACAGGCGAGUUAUAGAUGCAAGUAGCAUUCCUGCUUUGAAGUUAGUCCUUGCCUUGGCAGGUGGUUCUUUAUUGUGGGGAAUCACAUCUGUAGACCUUCCCACGAGCUGAGGAAAGAUCUUUUUGGCUCAAGCCUUUCAGAUUCUUUUGCAAAGGAAAAGAAAAUUCAAUCUUUGCACUUCGAAUGAUAAUUCCUUAUGUGAAAGCUUGUCCUUUGCUGGGAUGCUCAUGCAUAUGGAUCCUUGUGAAUGUGCUAUAUGUCUGUUUUCAGGCACGACCCCUUUUCAAGGACAGAAGGAAAUUUCCACAGAUGGCUGACCCGAUGCUUCAGGGCCAGUAUCCUGUGAGAGGCUUAUACCAGGCACUUGCUGUUGCUGCAAUGUGUGUUCAGGAGCAGCCCACCAUGAGGCCUUUAAUAGCUGAUGUGGUUACCGCUCUCACUUACCUUGCUUCCCAAACUUACAACCCUGAAGCCCAAUCAAAUCAAAAUACUUCUCGUUUGACAGCACCAGGUACUCCACCUCGAACAAGAAGGGACAGCGAAAAGAAAUCAAGUGGCGGAUCUGAAAAAGACCAGUUGAGAGGACUAAAAUGAAAUCAUCCAUUACUCUUGCUAGAGCAAGAAUGCUUCGAUUCCACCUGCUUUGCUAUCAUCUCCAGGUGCCAGAACAGUGAAAAAUUUUGCCUCGCUUCUAUUCUCUUUUGGCUGGCGAUUUGGUGCCUGGUUAUCGAAUUUUGUGUCAUCAGAAAACAGGCGCACCCUGUUUGAUUCAUGCCUAAAUUCUUCCAGAAAGUGGCUUUUUUUCCUCCCCCCCUUUUUCUCCUUGUUGCUGUACAUGUGAUUUCAGGCCUCUGUAUUUAAAUGUAUCUGUUUAGACAGCAUGUGCUUUUAUUGAUGUUGUUAUUUUUUAUAUCUGCUUUUAGAUACAACAACAGUGUUUGUUCACAGAAAACUAAAGGUUUAUGUAGUAUGAAAGCAUUGCCAAUUUACCAUUUUUAUUAUCAACUGCACUUGAUUCCUCAGCUUCCAUCGGUGUAGCUAUCAAUAAACCUGCUCAAAUUCCAGCGAUUUGGCAGAAAAAAGGUGGAUUCAUGGCAUGUCUGAUUUAAAUUGUGGCAACCAUUAUAUGGCUUUGAUGUACUCAUGUAUCAUGGCUUUGACUAACUAGGUUCUUCUAAAAUGCCAUUUUGGGGGGUUAUUGCAACAUGAACAUUUUCCAUUCUAUUUCAGCUGUUCUACCAUGAUUUUCCUUCUAUUUCCAGGAACCAAGACGUGAUAUAUGUGGAAUGUCAUUUGAAAGCAAGUAUUCUAUGACUUCAGGUUGAGGCUAUGAUUAGAAAUGGAAUCCUCGCAAUAUUUGAAGAAAGAUAUGCCAAGAGGCCCAAUUCUAGUACUCAUUUUCCCACUGCAGUGGUGAUAUUAUGUGGCAUGAUGGUAUUGGUGCUUCACUUCUCUCAGAAAAGAUGGUGUUGGUGCUCUAAACUUGAACCCACGAUCCAUUGUUCUGCAUGGCGCGCCAGCGGAAAAAGGGCAAGUUUAGGUUGUAGAGCUAUUUUGAAUAUGAGAAUGUCAGUGUAGACGUGACUCACGUGAACUUACCCCUGAUAACCAGCCAGGUCUUGGCAGCCCUGCAAAGUAGCAGGCAUGAUAAAUGGUGGUAUGGUUACUAUCAGUCGAUAUUCCUUCAGCGAAUUAUGAUGUUGAGACAUGAGUGGCCUGUCUGACUGUGAUAUCUCUUUACUGAUGCCAUGUGGAUUCUAUAAUGGAAUCCCGGCCAAUUGAUCCGAUGAAUCUACUAUCUAUAUUUUAUGCCAUGUGGAUAGCACAUUCAUCAUCAUAGAAGUUGUUCAGGACUACUCAAUUACAAGCCUCUAUUUUUCCUUUUAGCUCAUUGAAUACCUGCAGACUGAAAGGAUUGGUAGCAUUACAAAUAUACGUUAAGAUACCAGAGUGUUAGUAGGUGAAGGUUUUCUAAUUGAAAUAUGAUAUCAGGCAUCUAUGGAAAUCAAAUGAGGAUUCUUCUGAGAGAUGAGCUAAUCAGAUGGUGAGCAUGAGCAUGCCAUGACCGGAUCAUUCAUCUUGACUGUCUUUAAGUUUUACUUAUGGUGUGUUAUGGCUGUAAGUCUGAAAGAUUUUGCUGGAAUCUAAAACAAAAUCUAAGAUAUUAGAAACUUUUGUAUCAAGUUAAACUUUUCUUCCUUUAAAUAUUAGCUUUCAAGCAGGAAACAAUAUCUAUUGCCAGUUGUCAGAUCUUAUGGACUUCAAAAACAUUUGAUGCCUGGUGACAUUAUAACUUAACGUAGCUCAACAUCUUCUCCAGAAUUAACCGAAGGAUUUCAGAUCUGAUUGGCCAUUUGGCUCAAGAGAUUUUGUUUCAAGGAGAGCAAUGUCAUGCUAGCACUUGGCAGGUUGCCUAGACCAAUGUCUGCACUUCCAAUGAGCCCUCUAUCCGUGAACGGGGUGGCCGUCCGGACAAGCGAGACUUGAUUUGAAAUGAGAGAGAAUGCUCUUUUACAAAUGCAGCGAGCCAGGUGGGUAGAGUUAAAAUACAAUUAUCAACUGGUGCACGAGCGUCUCCAAUCACCAAAAUUAUUUAUUGGGUAGAUGAAGGUUAGAUAGGUACGGUAACUUGAAGAUAAUUUAUGAUGCAAAAUUGCCAGAACCGUGCCGCUCCGCUGUUUACGAAGUAUUUAGCAGCUUGUACGGCCACCAAGUGUGGGACGCGACCAGCAGCCGACUGCCAUUGUGGAUGGAUUGUGGUCCAGACUUUGGAGUUGGUGAUGAUUCCUCCCUAUUUUAAAGCCAUGAAGUACGGAGCUCAUGCAGCAUCUAUCGCCACUGAAACAGUAUGCAGUGGGCAAGUGUCUGAUUUGAGGACAUGGAGGCAAAAUCUUUGACUACUCUUCGCCAGCCAGCCAACACGAAGGGGUCAUUGCUAUGGGCAAGAAGACCCCUAGUCUGGCUUCUCCUUGCAUUUAAUAAUUGUCCUUCUAGGCCAACAACGUCAAGUCUAACGAUUCCCGGCUCAACAUGAUUCCUGGGCGUGACGCCAAAAAGAUUGUCGGCAGGCCAAGGCGACCUCUACCCCGGCUAGUCAGGUGAUAGCCCUUCUCGAGCCUUGCGGCCUUCGGGUUGUGGUCGGGUGGCUCCGCGACACGCGGCGUGUGCCAUGUGGUCAAGCUGGGGACGUGUGAAGCGGUGGUCGGGAGAGUCCGGCGACGCGACGGCAACCAUCUGACAUCCAGUCGUCUAGGAAUCAGAGACCAAUAAAAUAGAGGACAUGCAGUACAUGUAUUUCAACAAAGAAGAAGAGACUUCACCAAGUAAAACGAAGAAGAAGAGACAAUAGCAGUCCCAUGCAUUGAACUCAUUCAUGAUUUUUGUGGAAGUAUAUAGUAUUGACGUGUCAGCAUUUGGCACACUUUUUGGUAAAGUAAUAAAUAGUGUUGACGUGUCAGCAUUUGGCACACCGGUACAGCAAAGUGCUGGAAAAAGGAAGAAAAAUCUGAAGACAUAAUUCGCCGAAGAAAGGGUAAUGCCAUUGUCGGUUGUGCUGAUCGAAGGAUACGGUCCCCUUUGCAAGGUGUCAUACUGGUGGAAAGCCAGCUGACGGUCGCAGACAAGCGGUCUGCCACUUGACGACUUGGGUUGUCUGGCUGCAGCUCACAAGAUGAGGCCGGUGCGGUCCAUCCAUCCAUUAUCCAUGCGCUUCGCAUGCAUAUGUGUAAAGUUCGUUGAAACGACUCCGCUUGGUUUGUUGAAAAUUAUGUUCCACCAAGAGAAAUAUCCCACUCUGCAUUAGGUAGCAUCCAUGAUUUCAAUGAAAUAUAUAACAAAAAUUUCUCAUCCCUUCUUGUGUCCGCUACUCACAAGAUUAGUGAAACAAUGGCCGACCAGCUUGUAGCCGGCAUUUAAAAGAUACAAGGUUAUUACCAAAUCUACAGACUCUAUGAGUUGGACUUUGUACAAACGGGAAAUGGCAACUGAUCAUAUCGAAUACUUUUAUAAUUUAAUGGAACUUCUCUAGCAGAAAUAUAAAGACGGUAUAUGACAACAAUACAACAAGAGGUGAUGUGGCAUGCUGAUGUGCUAAUUUCGUCCAUGACAUUCUACUUAGCCAAAUCUUGAUGACCAUUCAGAUCUUUGUUCGGUGUUUUGGGGCUCUGUCCCACGCUAGAAGGUUUGCCUUCAAUGGACUCUUCAGAAUUGCUUGGCUUACCCUGAAACUUGAUGAAUUUGAAAUCGGAAUCAGUAGAAUCAAAACGUAAUAACACAUCUUAAUAUAGCCACAGGUUUUAGGAUGGGAUUUCUGAGUUCUUUCUGCCCUGAAUAUUACCUUUUCUGGUACAGAGGGCAUUAUUUACAUUAUUGACACAUUUUGUGAAGUAAAAUCAAAGGAUCAGAAUGAAUGCAUUUUCAAUUAUACAAAUGACACACAGAAAGCUGUGGAAGAAUGCCUUAUGUCAAAUGGCACAUAUUAUUUUACUCGAUCAGAUCUCUUGGCAAACAUGUCCCCUAGAAGCAUGCCACUUCCUUUUGUCACUCAUUUCAUGUAAUUGUUAUAACAAACAGAAAAGGAAUCGAGUAAUUCUCAUGAGUCAAACCAUAAAACUAUGGUUCAUCUAUCAAAAGAAAUCACUUCAAUAUGAACAUUGUCCUAUAUGUCAAACUAAAUAUCAAUUGGCACAUUCAAAAUUAUUACAGAACUCGUUUGACCAUCAUGUUGGUCGGGAUCAAAGGACCUCAUAACAAGUAGUAGUCAUAAAGAAAUAGAGCAGAAUAGCUAAAAGUGAGAUGGAGGAUAAUGAGAUAUUUUUGAUAUAUGUUAAUGUGUUUGCAUGUGCAUGUCUGUGUGUACAUAUAAAAAUUCUAUUUUUCAAUCAUAUAAAUUCUAAAGCAACAAAAUUUCCUAUCUAAGAACCUAAGUUAAAAUUUGGAAGCUUCAUGGUUAAGGCGAGUCUAUGAUGGGUCAGUAUGCAUUCUUUCCUUACUUUCCAGCAUGCUUUUGACCUUCUGUUAGAGCCAAAGAGGUUGUCCCUAUGCCACUAAGAUACACCAAGUAUGAGUAACCGUUCAGAACAAACAAUUUGGCACUAAUAAAAUAUGUAAAAACUAUAUUAACUACUUGACAAGCAAAUCAUCACUUGCUGGACAGACAUAUAACUGGUUUGCAUAGGAAUAUUGCAACCAAUGAAAUUUUAAUAGCUGACUUUAAAAUAACUACCUUGCUCUUGUCAAGCCAGCCAAAUGGUCUGGAGAGCAGUCCCAUUUUCCUGGCAGGUGCAUCCUGAGAAACCUCUUGAUUGGCUCGUGGAGUUCUGCAAAAUAAAUCACUCAAUGCUGAUUCUGAUAUUCAUUUUGAGUUAAAAGCAUGCACACCAUGCCUAUAUCCAUCAACUUAAACUGAGGGGCCAUUUGCUGGGGAUAAUCUGGCAUGAAAAAAUGAUUCUCAUGUCAGAUUACCAUGUUUGGUAUCAAAAAUGGAAGAGAGAGAUGGCAAAAAUUAUUGAUGGGCCCCAUGUUUAUUUUUCGGAGAGAGAUGGUAAAACAAAUACCAUGGGAGGUUAGUAUUUAGUAAAUUUUCGAGUGGUGGUAAUCCAUACUUAACAAAUUUACCCCCAAUAAAGCUGAAUAUAUAAUCAUUGAAUUUAUUUUGAUGUCUUUUUAAAUUCAUUUAAUAAAAAAAUUUUGCAAAAUAAUUAAGAUGAAAAUAGUAUUAUGUAAAAGACUGUGAUUAUAGUCAUUACAAAAAAACUAAUUGAAGAUGACAAUGCUAUCCUAGUAUUAAAAAAUUAUUUUAUGUUGAAGGAUAUAUUUGUAAAUUUGGCCAUAUUUCUAUGUAGAUUUAUCUCCAACCAAAUGUAGUAAUCUUUUUCCAGUGUCAUUUUCCAGAAUAAUUUUUCCAUCAUCCAAACACAAUAAAAGUUAAUUUUCUUCAUAAUUAUUUUCUCAAAUAAAUGAUUCCCAGAAAUUGUCAAAUUAUCCUGUAAUCUAACAUACCCCAAGUAAAUGGACCCUAAGGAUUUGUUGCGGUGAGAGAGUAAAAACUGGAACAUGCUAUCACAACCUGUGCACCAAAAAUGCAUUUAUGUUUAUCUAAAUUUUAGAACAUUAGUGGGAUAAAAGAACCAUGCAACUUAAUGAAACAUACGCAAGCAGACAGAGUACAUGGUAAGGAGAAGAAGAUGCCCUGCUGACAAUGAUUCAAUCCAAGAACACAGUUCAUCUUAUAGCAGUUAAAAUGACUGCGUGCAAAAUAAAUAGUAUCUAAUAAGAAAAAGAUGGAGAUACCUCGGAGAAUGAGGUUGAUGGGCUUUAAUCUGGCCAGACUGGUAUUGCAAUGUGGCCUCCAGCAUUGUUUCUGCCAUCACAGCCCUUUUCUCCAUUUGUGCAAGUGCAGACAUGGCUUCUUCAUAUUUUUCCUGCAUGUGUCAGGUAAAAGCACGUCAAAACAUACAGCUCCUGAAGAAUCACAUGAAAUGAGUAGAUAUGUGAAGUUCAAAAUAUAAAGGGUGCAAUCACUCAUUAUCCUCCUAGGAAGCAGAGGGUAAAUAGGCCAAAAAGGAACACUGUGAUUACACAAUCCGGGAGCAGAUAUCACUUAAAGCAUAUUCUUAAUUGAAAACAGAAGACUCACAACUCUUCUACAAUUUAUGUUACAAACUGCAACUUUUUCAGAAAUUACCGAGUGUUCUUCAUUAAGAGCUCAGAAUAAAACAUUUUCAGUACCUUUGCAAUGUAUACAAUUCCUACAAACAUAGAUAAAACAGACACCGUGCUCAAACAUGAUAAAUGAUGCCCAAUCUGUGAUCUUCAUUUAAACCCAAGGAACAGCCAAAAUUAUUUAAUAAAAUGACCAACCCUUACAAAUUUACUCUCAGAAAAGAAACAAAAAAAAAUCAGUUAGUUGAGAAAAUCCCUGAGAUUUUACUGUCAAGAGGAACAGCCUUAAAGGUAUCUCUGUGACAACAGAGAGCUUGAUCAGAUAACAACAUGCCAAAAAUCAAAAGUGCAAGUUAGCAAGAAAAGGUACAGAUCUAGAGUUUACACAUUCUCAAUCCAGUUUGAGGCCUAAUUCACAUCCUUUUCUAUGAAAGCAAGAAUUCUGAAGGACAUACAAGUCACUUGUCCAUACAUGUUUAUAGAGCCAUCUCUUACUACCAGAAGUAUAUUUGUAAUGUCAAAGGUCAAAAGUUGAAGUGAAAACUGGAAAAAAUCUUCCUUGUGUGGCUCCACUAAAGAUGAAAUGAAAAAUCAAAAAUGAGUGUGAUUGUAUAACAUUCUGCCAAAGCAGCCCCACCUAUAUAAAACAAUCUUAAAGUCAUUAUAGUCUCCUGUAUAUAGCAAAUAUGAUUUUGGAGAACCUUGUAGUGAUCAUAACACCAUAAUUAUAAUCUGAAGCACAAGUGUAUUAAUCAUACCAUUCAACGUGAAUGGACUUUCUCCAUCCAAUAGUCCAAGUUCAGCGGGGGAACAAACUUAUUAGUUCCAAAGAAAAAUGUAGAAGACCCUAAGCCACCAUAAUGCAUAACAAAUUCAGUGGUGAGAAAUCACCUGGAGCAGAUGAGCUGCGUAUUUCUGAGCAGCAGCAUCUUGCUCAGCAGAUAUGCGAGCAUCUUCCAUCACUUUCUGUUCUUGUUCUAUCCUCAUCAAGACCUAUACUAUUUAUGACAGAGCUUCAAUUCAUGUAUAAAACAAUGGUGUUGCAUACGAGGGCAAGUAAGCAGGCUAGAGAAAUGGAUAUGAUAUAAGAAGAAACACCUGAAGCAUGGCACGCUCUUGUUCUUGCUUAUCUGCAAGUGCCUGCCGCAGUUCAGAUACCUCUUCCUCCAACUGCUCAGCCUGUCAGAUGAAUUCCUUUUGUUGAAAUAGGAAUAUCAAGCAUGGCAGAGAAAAAUACAAAAACAUAUUUAUAAAUGUAACUAAAAGUUUAGAUGCAGUCCAAGUAUCAGCAAUACCAAUCCAUAGGUUUCUUGGUAAAAUUCAUAAACAACACUUGAAAAAGAGGGGGAAAAAACUACAAAAAAUGGGAAUAAAUUUGAAGUUUUUCAAUGUCAAAAACAAAAUUGUGACAUUACUCUCACAAUUUAUGGUUCCGCAAUUGGCAAAUAUUGAUGUAGCUUGUACCAUACCCACGUUCUUCCUCAUUUCUGAAAUGGGUACAACAUAGGGCCCUUGUCUUCUGCUUCGCAGCUUUGUGGCACUUUUAAUAUAGGUUUUGCGUUAAUUACUGAGUGAAGGAAGAACAAGAAGUAUGCUUAAGUUAUGAUUCCAUGCUCAAUUCUUCCUCUGGUGCCUAAUAGAGUAUGCCCCUAGAUGCAUUUCUGCAGUGGAUCUGGUUUUUGAGGAUAACUUGUAGAGAGCUGUUUUCAUUGGAAGUAAGUGUACCCAUUAUCAAGUUGAUAAAUACAAAUCAAAUGGAAAAUUAUAACACUAGACAGAGACCCGAAACUAAAAAAAUGAAUAUAUUAAGAAGUGAAUCUUUAUGAUAUGUGCUUCGGGCUGUCAAAUAGAAGAAAUGCAUCAAUGUUCUUUGGUGUGAGUUCCAAUAUCUCAUUGUCAAAUAGAGUUCAAACUCCCUCUUCUCUUGCUGUAGCAUCUUAUCACAACCCGUGACCUCAUCCAAAAAGAUUAGCCAGAAGAUGUUAUUUGGAUUCCUUGACCCAAUAUAAGUAACCAAGACAAAUCCAGUGCAUAGCCAAUGUGGACUAAACACACGCUUGCACAAGUCCUCACAUAACCUCCCUCCUCCUCCCCUCCAUUUAAGCCUUGGUGUCCUUACUAGGCUAAGAGUCCAAACUCAUCCAAAUCCACUCAUAAAUACUAUAAAUCUAAUCACAAACAUCAUGAUCAGCUUAUUGUUUACCCAAAUGGGUCACGUUAUAGUGUCCCCUACCCCAGUUGGGCCAUAGGUUGAGUCCGUUCUAAUACCAUCUACUAAAACCCAGGUCAUCAUCCAGAAAAGCUUGCCAAAAGAUGUCAUUUGGAUUCCUCGGCCCUAUAUAAGUAUCCAAGAUCAAUCCAAUGCAUAGCGGAUAUAGACUAAACACAAGCACGUAGGGGUGCUCACACAUCCCCUCCCUUAGUAUGGAUAUAACUGAAUCAUUGAAAAAGCUUGUGAGAUCUCUCCUGGCCCAGUGUUCUCUAUGUUCGCUCUAUUUUUUUCCCUCUCUUAUACCCUCCCUUACUGUCCCACAUUCAUGCUUUCUAUGUACCAUCAUUCUCCCUCUCCUAUCAUCCCAACAUUCCUAGAUGCUCUUUUGUACAGACAAUUACACAUGCAAAUGAGAGCAAAAACACAAGCUCAAAUAUCUUGUACUCCUACUCAGGUCACAUAAUUAGCCACACAGUCAAGUUGGUAGCUCUCAAGCUUAACUCUAGGUCAUCACCCUAUAUCUAUAGAAAGAUCUCCAAGAAUGUGAGGUAAUUGGAAACACACACAGACACACACACACACACACACACACACACAGAGAGAGAGAGAGAGAGAGAGAGAGAGAUUUGAAAAGGUUUAAGCCAAAAAUUUAAGGUCUGCUUGUCAGUUAUAAGUUUAGCAGAAACAACUAAUGAGACGUCCAAUGAAGGAUGCAAAGGACAUAAAUAAAUGAAAGAACAAGAACAAAACAACUACUACAUGAAUUUGAGAUGAAGAUUAGCAUUUGCAUGCAUUACUAAAUUAGAUCUUCAAAUAUAAAGAGGCCCAUAGGCUUCUGUCUUCCAUGGUUUCCUGAGAAAAGGAAAGGAAGAAUUGUUCAUACAGAGAAACUAAAAUAAAAGAUAAGAAUUUUCUUCUUUGGGUGAUACAAGAGAAAGCUGUUGAGAAUGUUAGGGUAUGGGUAUAAUCAAGGCUCGCCGUCUCGGUAUCUAACUCUAUACCUGUAAAAUCCUAUUAUAGUAUCCAUGUACGAUUUGGUACGGUACGAUAGUAUUGAUAGGGGUGGUACUGCAUACUGGUAUGAUACGUUAUGCCCCAUAUUGGGUGGUAUGGGGCAGUGCAGCAAAACAAUAGGUAUCAUCAUGAUCCCCUUGCCUUCUGUUAUUUUCUCUCAAUACCACUACCCAAAUUGGAAGAAAAUUUUUGACGUAUCUUAGAGAGCCUAUCCCCUAAUUUGUCCUUGCAUCUCUCCCUAAAUUUAAUUUUCUCCUUGCAUUCUCCCCCUGAAUUUGUCUUUCAUUACCACACACUGGGAAAAAAUUAUCACUCCGCUCCAAACAAAAGAAAAGGAGGAAAAAGAACUUUUUCUCUCACUCACUUCCUCAGCAACCAAGCAGAACCUUCUUGUCAUAGAUAGAAUACGUGGAGUCCCUUGUAGAUUUAAUUUAGAACUUGCUGUUUCUGACACUUUUAAUCUACCAAACUACUAAGAGGUCAGCAUGGAUGACAUACAUAAGCAUAGAGAAGAAAACUCCCGAACCAAGCAAGAAGAAUUUCCAUGUGGAAAAAAUAUAUAUCACAUGCCAACCAAAGAUUCUUCACAUAAAUGGUCAUGUAAAUUUAUGAAAAGAAUGGGAUAAAAAAUGGAUGAUAAUCACAGUAGUUGCAGAAAACUAUUCUUAUUUAUAGAUGGCUAAAAAUAUGAGACUAUAUUGCCACCAGCAACAGAAGCUAUCUUAUAGGCAUCACGAGAAUCUACCUUGGCACUCAAAAGGUGCCUAUUAUCCUGCUUGACCAUCUCCAUUAAUGCUGUCUCCAACUCCUCGGCUCUGGCAUAUAAUAGCAACAGCAAAUAAAAUUUGUAUUUUACUGAAGUUAGAGAAGACUUGAAAUAUGGCUUUUGGGAAGACAUUAUAGUGUUGCAAAACUGUAUGUUUUAGAAAUGCGAAAACAAAAGAUAAGUGACCACACAAUUGGGUAUUAGAGCAAAAUCUCAACACAGAAUGGGAAAAAAGUUUAAACUCUAAAGUGUGCAUGCAUAUGUCAAUGUGUAGCAGUUAAAAAAUCAAGAUAAAAUUGCACACAUUAAAUAUUCCAUGUAAGCCAAACAAGUAGCACAAAGAACCUUUCCUUUUUCUUCUCAGAAAAUGGAGAACAUCUACUGAAACAUGAUGCUGCCCACAUUUUUCAAUGUUAUCCUUGCAUAGUAAAUUAGGUAUUUAAGCUGGCACAUAAAAUUGAGGGAACUUUGAAUUCAAGGAGAGCAUAAAUAUCAACUAAGUCCUAGUGAGAUUUUUGUAUUAUAUAAUAUAUAGGAACAUAAGAUAAUUGCUUGAUCUAUUCAACUCUCAUAUGGUGAACUUUAUGACUUCAAGAACAUGAACAGCAAGAUCUUCAACAAUAAGAAAGAUACUCAAAAAUGAUCCAGUAAGCUUGUGGUGGAAUUUGCAGUCAAGUAUUUCAAAUCAAAGGAAACCAUAUCUGGGGGUAAUCAAGAUUUGAAAGUGACAUUCUGGAGUCUUGCAUCCAGGAUCCAACAGAUUUGAAUUCAGUGAAGUCAAAAUCCAGGGGAGAAUUAAGUAAAACAAUUAAUAUGGCCAGAAUACUGAUUAUAAAUGAAGAAGAGAACAUAGCCAAAAAUCACAUACAAUCAGUGAAGGUGCCAGAGGCGAUAUUACCCCAAAACAAAUUCAAGUAUAGGGCUGAGUUAAAGGUCUUAUGAGAGGGGGUCCCAUGAUCACUCACAGGCUCUGCAACAUGAAAAGCAUUUGGGUGAAGGUGGCUUCUCUAGCAAUCACUUCUUGGGUUAAGGAAGAUUGUCAAGAACAAGAAAAUAACCUAGUGGUUAACACUAGGAAUUUUUUGGGUCAAAGUAAUGACAAGCACAUCUUACAUACUUAAAAAGAGGGCUGCUAGUUACAGAUUCGAAUGCAAAGUGCACCAGGCUCCGUAGGUCAUUUGAUGGUCAGUGCAGAACUUUCCGAGUGAUUUUGUUAAACCACAAAGCUAAGCCAAGUAAAGACCUUGUACUGUGAAGAAGUUGGUGCAAUUUCAAGGAAUUACAGCAUACAAGGUAGGUGAAUGAAAAAAAUACAAGUUGCUGGAGACUACAUGAAAGAAUCCACUGACACUACAGGAGAUUUAUUCAUGUUAGAUAAGUUGGUAUGGCAAGGUCAUAUAAAUUUCUUGCUUUCUUUUCAUCAUAUUUGUAGUGGCAAGUGUCAAGAGUACACUGUUAUUGGGCAAUUUAUAAUUUCUUUUUCGCCUUAAAACCUUUUUUUUCAUCAAUCCAAAAAUAAAAACAUGCAGCAUUUAAAUCAAGCCCAACCUAAAAGCAACUUCUAUGCCCCCCCUCUUUGACAUCACAUGAAGAUACCAUAUUAGGCAUAAUACAUAAAUUCCGGUUGACAAAAGGGAUUGAGAGAUUAAUUAUGUCAGGAGCCAAACAGCACAUGCACUAAUUUAGAGUAAAAUUAAGAAAAGAUCUAAGAUUCCCUGUUCUUUAGUGAAGUUCACAACAUUAGGCUCACAUGACCGACCUGGACACACCAAGGACACCAACCUGAGAAGAGCUGAUCUUUUCUCCUCCAGCAAUUUGCACAACUCAACCUUCAGCCACUUCACCUAGAUAAAAAUUGCAUAUCCUUUGAAUUGCAACAUAAGUAUAAUGAAAACAAUGAGAAGGAGAACUGCUCAAGCAUUUAGACCUCUCAAGAAUGAUUAACCAAUAGAUGUAUUGCAUGUUUCCUCAUAAAAAAACUAAUGGUUUCAUAAUAUAAAAGGAAAGCAGAUCCAUCAAUUGUAUUUCAAUUUUCAGCAUUGAAUAAAACAGUAGAACAGUACUUCACAUUGAUGCUAACAAUUCAACUUCCCAAUAGGAAAGACAUGCCAUAUUCUUUUAGAUCUGGAGAAUAUUGUAUUAACCAUAAAACAAGUGCAUCACUGGUUAAUUUCUAAGAGAGAGAUCUACAUGACCAUCUGAAAAUUCAUGGUCCAGAUUGGCAAUGUCAAAUAAUUGGGAGAACGUUUGUUGAUUAAUGUUCACAAUAUACAGGCUCCAGUUUUUGCACUGUCUGUAAGAACAUGGAAACAGGAAUGCUUGUUUACAUAACAGUGAAUAUCUACACUUAGCUGCAAUAAUCAGCAUGCUUGUAAGCCCAAAUAUUGGACCUAGCGCUUCUACCAAGAAAGUCGAGUACAGAGGCCUUGAAUGUCUUCUCCUCCUCAAAAAUAUGUCAUUGAUGCAAAAGAUGAAGGAAACUCAAACAAUUGUAAAUAGGCAGCCUUCAAUGUUCUAAAAGAUGGGCAUAACUCUUUCUUUGUUAGAUUUCUAUAAACUGCACACAAGCAGUCAUUAAUGUUCCAAAAUACUGCAUAUCUCUUUCCUCCUUUGAAAUCCAAGGCUGUGUUUUUCAACUACCAUAUCCUAGUGCCAGCAGACUUAUUAUCCCUGGUACCAUUUCCUACCUGGCAAUACCUUUUUGCUUUUUCACUUAUUUUUUGUCCCUACACACUAUUCUGGAGAUCGAACACAUCAUAUAACUUCACCAUCUAUUUCUCCCUCCCUGUUUUCUUCCAUUUUGCCAUUGAAGAAGAGUACGAGAGUAUCUGAUGAGCGAUGCCCUGUCAAAUCAUCAAAGCAUUUCUUGCAUUUUGAACAGAGGGGCAUGUGCAUAUCACCUGGUUCCUUACAUAAAUAGUAAGAGUAACGUUACUAAUAUAAUGCAAUAAUUGAUUCAUUCCAGACUUGGAAUCCAAUUUCCUGGUAUUGAUGAAAAAGAAGAGAGGCAUUCAAAGUACAAUGCUUCUGCACCAAAGUUAGGUUGUACGCAAAUCAAUAGUAAUAGAGCGGUACAAUGUGUCUAAGAAUUUCCAGCUAUAACUCCCAUUGCUUGUUUUCUGUUAGAUAUUCAGUUGUCUUGCUGGCAUAUUCAAACCAACAAAUAAUCAUGGCAAGAAUUAGGAAUGAUAAGCAGUUUCUUUCCAUACAUUAUUCAGCAUCAAGGCACUUCAGUGUACUGAAAAUUUUAAGCAUGAUUUCAAAACUUGCCGAAGCAAGAUGGUCGACCGGUAUCAUACCAUUCUAGCAUGAAAAUGGCACCAGGACAGAUUUCAGGAUGCCGAAAUAGCCAUACCAGUAUGUACCAGCUGUACUGGUCUAUACCAGUUCAUACUGGCAGUAUAGUAUUGAGUCUAUUGACUAUGCCAGUUGGUACUGAUGGUUUUUCAAUUUUUUGAAAGCUGUCAGUUUCGGUGCAUAAUGUUGUUGCUGGCUUUGUACCAAAUAUCAAACUAUUCCAAGGGGGAAAGGGUACAGGAUUUGAUCCUGCUAUUUAAAACCUUGAUUUUAAGCAUAGAAUUUCUCCUCAAUCACAUCUUGCCAAUUUUAGUUUAGAAAAAUUAGAUAAUUAAAUUGAUUUUAGCUUUGAAAAUUCUCAAUUUUUUUUAUGUUUUAAGGCAUUUUACCUAAUCGAGUUACAUUCCACCUGUGACACAUCAGGUGAUUGAAGGCAACAAGUUGGGCACCGUCAUAAGUGAUUUAUCUACAGCACCAGCCAUCUAUAUUCUUUUAUGAAAAGAACUAAGAAAGAACUUUAGUUUAACCAAUAAAUAAUUACCUCUUCUUGAAGAUCAGGUAUGGAAUCUGUCUCUGAAUCAACUGUUAGACUAUUCAAAUAUCCCCCUAUAUCUGUGGAUCCGGACUUCAAGUUAUGCAAAUCCCCAUUGGUUUGUGUGUCACCUAAUGCCUCUGCCAAGUUGGCUUCUGUAAUUAUGGAUCCUGGGUCAUGUUUGAAACUAUAUAACUUAGAUGCUAGGCCCUUAGAGUCCUUCCACGCUUUGAGUCCUCUGGAUCUUUCCUCCAUGGCAGCUAUAACUGCAGGCCUAUGCUUUUUCCUCAACUGAUUCAACAUUCUUUCAUCUAUAGCUUGAUAACCCAUGCAAGCUGUCAAGACAAGCUGGCUACUGUCAAACGUAGAGCCAGCAAGGGAUUGCAAUAAUGUAACUGCAUCUCCAGCAUCUUUUGUAGUCACGACCGCAGGACCUAAAAAUUGACAUGCGAUUUAUUUAAAAAAAUAUUAUACAUACUACAGAAUGAACAUAAUACAAAUAUUAAAGGAAUAUUAUUGAAUGAGAUCAUUAACUAAAAUAGGUUUAUGCGGUACCAUAUAAUUCCAUCAAAGCAAGUGCUGUUCGGAAUAACAUGAGCCGAUUUCCAUCAAAGAGAAGCACAUCCCAUAUACGAAGAACUGAAAUUAUAAACACCAUCACAUAUCAGAGAUCUUUGUCAAUGGAUACUAUAGCAUGAAAUUUUGAAUUGUAUCAAGGAGCAAGUAUAUGAUGAGUUUCUAAAAGAAAAAGACCAUCUGGCAUUGUAUUCAGAAAUUUGUAAUCAAUGCAUUAAUGGAAUGGAAGUAAGACAUUAAUAAAACCUGACCACUUUCCCAAGGAAGCAUAUUCAUGAAAAUGGAAAGGAACCAAGGUCCGGUGACCCAUGCCACCUGCACGCCCAGAUAAUCCAAAUGAUGAACUGCAAAACAAUAGAAAAUAUGGAGUUAUGUAACAGGUUUUCCAAUGAGUGUGAUUGCAUGCAUACAAAUAUACAGCAAUACACAUAUACACAAAAUGAAAUACAGACCCAAUUUUGGAAAUUUCUCACGCACUAGCUCCUCAAAAACAAGCUGAUCCACCUGAUGCAAAACACGAUUAAGUAGAAAUUAAGAUAUGUAAUAUUAGUCAUCAGCAAUAUUAUCCCUUGAUUCCACCUCAUCAAUUUCAGAUAGAUAUGGAAGGAAAAACUAAAAGUGGUUGCUAGAAAGAUCCUAAAACAGGACAAUUACCUGAGAUUCAAUCAUUUCCUCGGAAUAAUAGCCAUCAAAGUAAUCAUCGAUAAUACCCAAUAGUGUCCUGAUGAAUUUUGAAAUAACUUAGAACAGCAAAAGAAAAGCAACUUGCAAUAGUUACUAGAAUAAAUAUGUUUGAUCGCAAAAGUUGAGUUUCAUCAUCAGCAAUCAUGUAACUUUUCUUCUGCCAGCUCAGACUUUAAGAGGAAUUAAUCAUGAAAACCUAAUACUUUUUCAAAAAUAAUUAUGGAAACCUACCAAAAUGCAUUUUCCUCGGGCAUCAGCAAGAGUAACAAGCCUGCAAAGAAAUUCAUAGCCUGCAGGGACAAAGUCUCAAAUUUUUAAGUAGACUGGAUAAAAUGCGUUAUUGUCAAGCACUUUCUCUAGCUCAAGGUCCUUGAUGCAGCCUAGACACCGACUAACACAAGAGUCUGAGUCCAUAAAAUAUGCGAAAAUAGAGAUAAAAAGUAGUGCAAUAAUCAAAUUCUUUGAAUCAUCUCCCAGAAUAAAUCACCAUACAAAGGCAUGUAAAUACAAACUGUCUGAUAAAGAGAUACUUAAAAAUAUGACUUUCUUGGAUCUCUUCUGCUAAAAAUAAGAUUUAGACCAGCCUAAACAUAAAGGCUCAUAUUACAGAACAACCAAGAAAUCUAAAACCUGAACAAAUAAAUUGACCUGGAUCUCAUCUUAGUAGCCAGUGCUCAUCACCAAGUGCACCACAUGCAUCACUCCAAGCUCACCCUCGAGCUUCUGCUAAGCUUUUGUAAUCAAUUUCUCAGCUCCACAAAGUUACACAUGUUAAACAUUUUAAAAGCAUUCCAUGGUAAAUAACUGGCAAUACUUUGUAGUGAUUGAAUGGCAGAAUAAGGAAUUGACCGUCCAUCUUGAUCAUAAAAGGAGGAAAAUAAAGAAGCCAGCCUGCGGCUAUUGGCUAGUAACAUGAUCAGGAAAGAAGGAUAUUUGACCCAUUCUAAACGAACUUACUUCCUCAAAAAUCUUCAUAAUGACAGGAUGAUUAUCUUUUAAGAUCAAUUGAGGGAUCAAAUCUCCAUUCAUAUUGUAAUUUAUUAAGGGCCAGCUGCGAGUGGAGCAUCGAAAAGUGAAGUGAUCCAUGCUAGCAUGCUAAUGGAAAGCAAAGAAGGGGAAAGAAACUUUACAUCUUUGUGAUUUACUACCAUGCAGAAAGCAAACAAGGUGAAGGGGAAUAAGGCAACCAGAAUAAUACAAUUACGGAACGAAACUUCACAUGAAAAUUGUUUCAAAUCUGAUAAUGAAUUAUGUGGCUCACAACCCGUGGACAUGAUCGGAUAAUGUAAUCAAGGAAUGAAUGACUAAGGCAUGCUGGCCUCCUACUGACAUUUUUUUAACACACCUGGUGUUCUGUAAAUUUCCUAUUCCAACAUUUGUUCUUUUUUAAUUAGUCAUUUCAGCCUUUAAUGUUAGUUAUGGCAUUCAGAAACAUGAUCAGAAGUGGGAACGAGUGCGUAAACAAGGUUGAGAGGGAGUGAUGGGACCACUCAGAUGGAUGCCUUAAUUGCCAAUGCGAUGCUUUAUAGGUAUAGUGUUAUGAUUUCAAAUAUAGUGAAUGUUCAAGCAUGCUACCUACAUGCAAAACUUUUGCGGAUGUGUCAAACACCUGAAGAUACAUUUGGGAGUUGUUUAAUUAUGUAUAGCUAUACCAUUAGAAGCAGAAUAAUAGUAUAGCCACAAAUGGGUAUGGAUUAAAUGUGACUUAUGCAAAUUGCCAUAUCAGAACUAUCCAAGUUCUCUCAAUAAAUAAAAACUGUAUCAUGCCUAAAUCUAACUGGAGUUCGAAUAUGCCAUGACAUAUGGGAGUUCAAGCCACACUGAACCACACAAAACGAGAUGUCCAUCACUCCACACCUACUUUCAGGUGAGCUCGUCACCCUCCUCCCAUGCUCUCUCAUUUCUCUUUCCUUCAUCAUCUACAUCAUCUUCUAUUGUUCUUCUCUUUCAAUCACCUUCACCUAAGGCCAACCUUACCUUACCCAUGGACCUGGCUGAACUACUUACUGUCCUUCAAACAGGUAAGAUUGUUAACCUCAAAAUAAGAGUUUGUUUUGUUCUGGGAUCUGUUGCUUCCAGAGAUCUUCUUGUGUCGAUCCAUCAUGUGGCUUAUAAAGUACACACAUUUGUUUGGCCACUUACAGAUGCCAGCUUUUUUCCUUUCCCUUGGCGUAUCCUUUUAAUAUCCAUUUCUAUAUAUAUAUAUAUAUAUAUAUAACNNNNNNNNNNNNNNNNNNNNACUUUACCUUUUAACUUUACUACUACUAUACUUAUAUAUAUAUAUAUAUAUAUAUAACUUGUUUAAUAUAUUAUAUUUAGAAUAACAGAUCAUAUCAUUCUUGUGUACUGCAAAGCCUCAAAUUUUGAUAGCACCUCCUUAUACAAAUAAUGGUUUGUUAAUGAGAGUACAUGCUAGUGAUGAAAAUUACUAAUGAAUCCACACAAAGAAGUGUGAGAAUUGCUUCCCAUAUUUUAACAUGUCCAGCUGCAGGAUAAAAGUUUUGAGGAGAUAUAUGCCCUUCAUGCUUUUCUUCCACAUGAAUGGAAGUUAACAUCAUUAAAAGAAAAGCAAGAAUAUCGAGUAUCAGAUUCCAUCAAAUGAAAACCUCCAUAUCUUUGCCAGAGAAACGAGUCACCAAAAUACAUUAACUUCUAUAGAGUUCGGUCCUGAGUACCUGGCAGUACCCGACUGACGGAUUAUGGCGAGCAUAUGCUGUGAGCAAACGCCGUAGUGCGUUUCUCCCAUCCUCAUCUAAAGCAGGAUGACCUGGAAAUGUUCGAGGCAAAUCCUGUAAUGAGAGAAUACAAGUCAGGAUGAUGAGAAUCAUUCAUUUCAUAGCAGUUUCAACAACCCAAGAUUCUACGAGAUAACAAAGGGUGGACAUCGGACUUUAUAAUCCUUUAAUCAAAUGACCUUCUCGAUCUGUGUCUUCCAUUUCUCAGGUGUACAUCCUCCCUGAGGUUUUUUUGGCAUGCUAAUGGUGUCAUUUGGAAGGGAGGCAUCAGAUUCCUUAAUAUUAUCAGUGUUAGCAUCUAGAGCUAGCAAGUCGUUAUAGUAUCCCUCCACCCUGCGUGCCCUCACACCCACAAAAGCUUGCCAUAGCUGCGAUCAGAGUGGAAGAUAGAUUGAGAAAAGAUAAGCACCAGAUUACCAAAAACUAAUCAUCAUGAGUGCAAUAGUAGAGUACUGACUGCACCUCUCCUCUGAGAGCCAUUGGCACUCCUCCGCGAACCAGGCACUUCAGCUCUUCUUCCCAAGGAAAGAAAGGCUCCUGCGUUGCUACAGAAUCAGCAUUCCCAGCAUCACCUGAAAGCGCCUCCUCCUUGACUGCAUUCGAUCUCUCCACAUCAUAGAACUCUUCCUCAGACUCUCCUUCUUUAGAAGAUCUUGCAACCUCUUCAAUAGGUGCCAAGCAGUUCCCACUUCUCCCACGCUCUUGUUCAUCACUGGAUGGGCUCUUUCUCUUCUUCACCCGCUGACUCAUCAACUGCUCGAUGGCAGCGAGAGAUGGUCUUAUCUGACUCCAUGUAAGAGUUCUAUGGAUUUUCACCUUUUCUUUCUCAACCGGCUCCUUCUCUGCACCAACAUCCUCCGAUCCAUCACGUUUGUCCAUUCCACUCUGAUCGCUGUCAUUUCCUGAGACAUUUGGUACUUCCGCACCAAAAUCCUGUCCCGAUGAACCGUUGGAUAAUACCUGGGUAGACUCGGCCAGUCUUUCGAGGAAGUUCUUCCAUUGUUCCGAUCUCUCUUCUUCUUCCUCCUGGAAUCAUUGUAAGCUCAAAAUCUAAGCAACAUGCAGCCCGAACCUUGAUAUAUUAAUUUGAGGAGUAAAAAAGAAAGGGAAUUAAAUGGAUUGCCUUGUAGAUUUUUGCAUAUUCCCGGUAUCUCUGCAAGUGUUGAGGCCGAACCGCGAAUCCAUAGGCGUCCCUGUUUAGAUUUCAUACCAUCAACCGGCUACCAAGAACAAGUCCCUUAUAACUGAAGUUAACGCUGUAACUAGAGAUUCAAAAAUCAAGAACCCUAUACCUAGACUCAACGUCCAUGGAAAAACAAAUCAAUCAAAACACCAUAAUAAAACUCCGAUUAGAUCGUCCAUCCCACUGGCUCUAGAAGAACGCAUUUGCCAUCGCAACUAAAACCCUAGAAUCCGUAAAAAUCCCUACUUUAACCUACUGCAGCGACGGUACAACUGAAUCCUAUCUCCCCAAACGCGUGCUCUAUGAAAAGUCUCGAGGGUACCAAGGCUAUAUAUGAGAAAGAAAUCCAAGAUCACAGGCCGCGUUGCCCGAAUAACGCUUUACGAAAUGCAAGGAAAGAAGAAAAAUAGAGAGAUAAUAAGAACGCGAAGAAGGAAAGAGAGGGAAGAAAAAGGAUUAUUGAGAUAUGAAGAAAAGAAAAAAAAAAAAGAAGUAAUCGGCGGACAUCUCGGCGGGAGAAGGCGUAGAAGAGACGACACGUGGAGAGCAAUGGGCGAUCGAUCACUCACCGCUUGUGCUCCAAAGAGAUGACAGGGAGGCUCUUCCUCCUC